rnacentral:rRNA from 1 species
AACGAACGCUGGCGGCAGGCCUAACACAUGCAAGUCGAACGAGAAGCUUUCCUUCGGGAAAGUGGAAAGUGGCAGACGGGUGAGUAACGCGUGGGAACGUGCCUUUCGGUUCGGAAUAACUCAGGGAAACUUGGGCUAAUACCGAAUACGCCCUCCGGGGGAAAGAUUUAAUCGCCGAAAGAUCGGCCCGCGUCAGAUUAGCUUGUUGGUGAGGUAAUGGCUCACCAAGGCGACGAUCUGUAGCUGGUCUGAGAGGAUGAUCAGCCACACUGGGACUGAGACACGGCCCAGACUCCUACGGGAGCAGCAGUGGGAAUA